rnacentral:rRNA from 1 species
GACGAACGCUGGCGGCGUGCUUAACACAUGCAAGUCGAACGGAAAGGCCCUGCUUUUGUGGGGUGCUCGAGUGGCGAACGGGUGAGUAACACGUGAGUAACCUGCCCUUGACUUUGGGAUAACUUCAGGAAACUGGGGCUAAUACCGGAUAGGAGCUCCUGCUGCAUGGUGGGGGUUGGAAAGUUUCGGCGGUUGGGGAUGGACUCGCGGCUUAUCAGCUUGUUGGUGGGGUAGUGGCUUACCAAGGCUUUGACGGGUAGCCGGCCUGAGAGGGUGACCGGCCACAUUGGGACUGAGAUACGACCCAGACUCCUACGGGACGCAGCGGUGGAGAGUAUUGCACAGUGGGCGGAAGCCUGAUGCAGCGACGCCGCGUGCGGGAUAACGGCCUUCGGGUUGUAAACCGCUUUCGCCUGUGACGAAGCGUGAGUGACGGUAAUGGGUAAAGAAGCACCGGCUAACUACGUG